GUGAAAUGGUAUAUGGCGGUAUUAGUAGAACCGUGGUAAUUUGCCUUCGGUUUGGUAUACCAUGAUGCAAUCCAAAAAAUCUGUAUUUUCGGUUUUAGUACCAUCAUUUUAUUAACCAUUUUAAGCCUUUUCUAAAAUCAUUUUGUCAAAAUCU